AUUAAUCAAUAAAAUGUAGAUUUUUGUUGUACAAACUGCAACCAAGAUCCAAAUACAAGUAUAAUUCUAACAAACAGAGAAAGGGAAGUGAACAAACAGAAAUAAAAGAGGAAGAAAAAGGAGGAGUCGAAUUGUAUGUUUUGAAACGAUAAGCAGGGAGCAUCAUGAUGUUAUUAAUGGGUUGUUUUGCUGCUCUUUUCUUUGAUCCUAUUAAUACCCGCAGCUACUCCUACCUUAGCUUUCUUAAUGCCUGUUACUGCUGUGGCUUUCGUUUUGCCUAGGCCGCCAUCAACCUUCUUUGAAUUCUUAGCCUUAGCCUCUCCGCUGCUCUUGCUAGGCUCGGUUGGGAGGGGAUCCGGUCCGUAGUCCCACUGAUCAGCCCAUGAGGUUCCAUAUGAGCUGCGCGGUUCCAUUUUCAAGCUUUAAUUAAAGGACAGGAAAAAGAAAAGAUCGGAUUGUUCAGUGCUGUUCUCUUUCUUGGAGUAUAUAAACGCGCCAAUGUCCAGCCGAAAGCAAAAUAUUUAUGCUUCUUGGUGGAAGUAGCUUGCUGCAUCCGUACAAAAAUGUAUUGAAAACAAUGUUUUUAUUCCCGAUUUGUUUCUGUUUUGCCAAAAAAGAAU
rnacentral:lncRNA from 1 species